GACAGAGGUCCCGAGCGUUAGGCGGAAUCACUGGGCUUAAAGCGUGUGUAGGCGGAUGCCUAAGUACCUUGUGAAAUCCCACGGCUCACCCGUGGAACUGCUUGGUAUACUGGGUGUCUUGAGCCACUUAGGGGCUACCGGAACAAAUGGUGGAGCGGUGAAAUGCGUAGAUAUCAUUUGGAACGCCAAUGGUGAAAACAGGUAGCUGGGAGUGUGCUGACGCCGAGACACGAAAGCCAGGGGAGCAAACGGG
rnacentral:rRNA from 1 species